rnacentral:rRNA from 1 species
AUGAAGGGCGUCCACGACUCGUGCGUUCUCCGCUACUCCAACGAGUCCUUCGUCUCCGUCGCGGACCUCACCGUCGCCUACUACUGGUGGUACAGCACCUACGUGGACGACCCGUCCAGCAUGAACAGCACGAGGUGGGAUCUGCUCACCCGGCUAGCGGCGGAGGCGGCGCGUUCGCCGCUGCGGCUCGCGAACGGGAGCGUGCCGUACGCGGCCAGCUCGCAGCCGCCGACGACCAUGCACGGUCUGGCGCAGUGCACGAGGGACCUGAACGCAAGGGAGUGCAGCAGGUGCCUUACCAAGUUCGUGGCAAACCUCUCUAGGGUGUUCCCUAACAACACCGGUGCUUGGAUCAAGGGCUACAGCUGCUACGCCGUAUACAGCAUCGGCGACGGCGAGGAGCUCCAGCUCCGUGUCACCACUCAGCCACCGCCGUCCAAUCUCCCGCCAGUGGUCGCCGACGAGGAGCAGACGGUGGCGGCCGGCGCCAGUGCGGCGGCUGCGGCCAUCUCGCCCCACUGGGGCGCUUCAGAGGCCGCCUUCCUCAACCGACACAUGCCCUGGGCCCACCCAUCGAUCUCGGCCUCUCCCACAAUCCAGUCUCAUCCUCUCCCCCCGAAAUCCCCACUCUUUCGUCUUCCCCAUCAUCCUCUCCGUUGCAGCAAACAUCGCCAGGUGAGCUCGCUGCUGCAAAGCAACCACGGAGUGUUGCAAGCCCCGCCUCCCUAUGCUUCGUUGCCCAAAUCUCAUGGCCAUCGGGGAGUGCUUCAAGCGGAUGUUGUGAACGCCAACGACGGUAAAAAUCGGGCCAAUCGAAGACUGACACGUCAAUUAGUGGGGGACGUGGACAGGUUGCUUCUAUUGGGCUGCAUGCAUGCUAUACCGUGGGAUGCUUUUGACAAGGCCACGUGCAUGUGCUUGCUGUUUCUGGUAAUCUUUGGAUGCAUGGCCGCUUAUUCUCUUGCUCUCUCGAGAAGGAUCCUUUCAAUUCAGUUCCACCGCUUCACCGCGGUAGGUGACUAUAUAAGGUUCUCCACCACCGGCGGUCUUGCCUCACCUCCUCCCUGCCCUUUCGGCCUGACCGCCGAGCUCCGCUUUAACACAUCAGACUGGAGCGUCUCAUCUGGUGGAUCCCAUGCAGAUGCAUGGAGAGAUGGACCUCGAGCUGCACGCGAUGGCGCCGGGCUAGCACAAGGCAGAGCACCCGGCGAGGAGGCGCGCAAGAUCGGCGCGUCGGUGCCCACUGGUUGCCAUCCCCGUCUCCCCUUCCCUCGCGUCUUAACUCUUACCCCGAGGUGCUACAGAAGAGACGCCCUACGGGGAGCUAACAUGGAGGAGCGGGCGGCCGCUCGAGGCACAACAUCCUGUUGCAGGCGAGGCGGGACGCCGGUGCCGUCGGCGAGGUGCCGAGGGCGCGCGGUGCGGCUCGCACUAGGACUCGUGCUCCGCCGCCAUGGCGACGGCCAGCGCAGGACAUGCGCGACACUGGGAGCCAAGCAUGAGGCUCUGGAGUGGCUCAUGCAGCGCGUCGCGCGCGGCGGUGCCGGUGGCUUGCAGUUGCAGGUUGACCGUGGGCGGUGGGCGUCGGGCAGAGCUCACAUGUGGUUGCGGCGCAGGCCGCUGGCGCUCGGUAUCGACGUAACGGAGCUCCUUUCCCUUACAGAAGCGGGCGCCGUCUCCUCUCAUGUCCCCUUCCCUCCUCUCUCUCGCCGCCGCCUGCGUGCGUGCAUGUACAGCUUGCUCGCCGAUAGAGAGUGCGCCGCUGCUCUCCUUCUCUCUCUCUCCAAGGCGACCGUGUUCCCGAGCCGCCGCCCCCUACCCAAGCUCCCGCAGCGCUACAUGUUGCCGCACGCCGUAUCUCUUUCGCGGUUUGGCUUUGGCCUCGCUCUUGGCACCGCGCCGGUCUACGAUGGCCACCAUCUGCCGGACAGUAAGACCCGAUAUGGUGGUCGCCUCGAUGACCGGUGGGUGCAAGCCAGCUGCGGCCCUUCGCCAUCCCCGAGCCAGCUGCGGCCCUUCGCCUACGGCAUGCUCGGCGCGCAUCUCCCGACCGGCGUACCUGCGAGGCGUACAACUGAAGGGUUCAGUUUGAACUUUGAAGAGCAUGCAUGCGAGCCCCGGAUCGGCCACUCGAUUGACGGGGCCACCUCCCAAGGCUCCUCGGCCAUCACCUUCCCCAUGGCCGCCCUCGCGCGACUCCACGCCGGCCGUUCAGCUCAGCAGUCCUCUCGAGGAGAGUACACUAUCGACAAUGGUAGCAUGCCUAUGCCACGAAGGGACGCCAUAGUCAUGCACAGAGCGGUCGCCUUCAAAUUUCACAGCAAGGUCCUUGGUGAAUUUUCAGCUGAGCUACCAUCACAUGAAAGUGGAGGCCAACGGCUAGAUCAAGCAUCGUCCGAUGUUCGGCUGUUGUUUAUCGUCUGGACAGUAGCCAACUCCACCGGGCGACUCCAUCCUGUCCGGCCCCGUUCAUUUGGGGUAAAAUGGACAAACAAGACGGCCCAGCGCGCGACGGCCCGAACCUAUCUCGUCCGUUUUGUGUCUGCGCCGAUCCAUUUCGAGCGCAAACUUGCGCCGGGUUUAGGUCGCGACGGACACCAAACGGACGCGCGCCUCGUCCGCGUCGGGGCCGCGUGGCAGGCGGCCACCUACCUCCCACCCGCCCACAUCAAUGCGCACGCGCGGGCGGCCCCGCCUGUCAUCCGCCCAGGCGAACGGUCGCGGUCCUUCUUAAAUGGGAUCCGUGGACCGGUCGUCGUCCACACUGUCCCACUCCAUCCUGCGGCCUCCUCGAAACCCGACAACCCCAGACCGCCAAACCCUAGCCUCGAGCUCGCCGGCCAGCCGCCCGCAGCCAUGGGGCUAUGGAACUACAGCCGCAAAGGAAAGCACGACCGCGAGGCUGGCUCCUCGUCGGGACACCACCGCGGCUUCGUGCAGAAGGAGGAGCCCGCAUCGCCAUCGCCACCGCGUCGGCCCCCACGCCGCCCGCGUUCUCCAUCGCGCCCACGGCCGCCGACGAGCGCGACCGGCACUACAUCGAGGCUGUCGUAUGCCGCCGUUAUUGGGAGACGAGGACGCCGCCACCCUGGAGCGACGUCCACCUCCCCAACAAUUGGCACCUGUCGGCCGACCGCGUGCCGAUCCCGCCGGUCCCGCUGA